GUGCAAUUUGAAAGGAAAUGUCCUUGGAAGACGGAUUCCUCCAUCCGCUGUUUCAGCCCUUGUUUGUUUUCUGGUGGAAAUUAAUUUCUCAAAGGCCCUCCGUGUUGGAAAGGGCACGCUGAUAGGUGCAGGGAAAUAAGGAACUGGAAACAAGAUGCGCCUUAGCAGGCUGCAGGAUGGAACCUUCGUGCGUGCAGGUGGUGAGAAGUGACCUUCGGGAGGAACCCACGCUGAUGUGUUGAGUUUUGCUGGGACUCUUCAGUGCUCUUUGGGCUCUGAUACGUAAGUAAGGUGGUGCAGCCACGUGUGUCAGCUCACUGCUGAGCUCAGCGCUGGGGGCCCUGCUUUGGGUGAGUUCUGCUGUGGGAUGUGCCAAUGGGAAUGGAUUGAAGCGGCUCAAAGCGUUCCAUGGGAGCUCAGCCUGCAUGCCUUUCUCCCAGCAGGUUGGAUCUUGGAAGGUCCUUCCCCUGCUCUCCCCCACUGGAUUCAAACCAGGCAGUGAAGCCAGGUCUGUUCCUGGAGCCGUUGGAGGCUCACCGAUGUCUGUCUUCGGACCUCCCUGCUGAUAAAGAUUUAUGUGAUAGGAAUAAUUUGGUUGGGGUCAGGAUUUCUCCUCCAUGGAACCCAGGGCUACGUGGGGAGCUGCUGGGAUCCCAGCACAGCCUCUGUCCGGCUUCAGUUACAGCUUGAGCAGUGCAGCACAGGAGCGCUCUGAUUGCGAUCAUGCAGUCAUCGAAGGGGUCGUCCCCCAAAAGGAUGCUUUGAUUUUCGAUGUGACACCCAGGGCUGAGCAGCUCCGCUAGCCGAGUUUACGUGGGAUGUGAGUUUUCCCAUCGCUUUACUUCGGGACGUGCGGCGUGGAGCCCUGGGGCAAUGCCGGCACCUCCAGCUGCCCCCGCCCCCUGUGUUCUGCCCCUGCUGAGGGGGUCAGCCCCGAAGGUGAGGUGAUGGAGGGCUGUGGAUGGGCACGGCUCGGCGCUGGACAGAGGACCCACAGCUGCACUGAUGGCCAUCCCUGCCCCGGCCCCAACAGUGCCGCACGUGCAAUGCUGUGUGCUUUCCCGGGGGGCUGAAGGUGCUGAAUUAGGCACUAACGUAUUUUCCUGUUGGAUCACUGUUUGACUCAAGAAAAUAAGAAAGGGCUAUUACUGCCUUCUGACCCGUUGCUUUGACAUUUGAGUUUCAGUUUGCUUAGCGUCAUAACGUUGAGAAAUUCAAACAGCUCUCCAGCUCGCAGAAUUAUGAACGCCUCCAUUUGGCACUGGAAGAAACCAGCCCUGCAUUCUGGAUUUCCUUACGUUCGCAUUUUCCCCAGCCCAGCAGGGUCGUUUUCCCUUUGAGAACAAUACAGGGCUUGGCUCCCCACGCUGUGCCAUGGCUGCAGCAGCUCAGUGCAGGGCAGGGCAGGUUGGUUCAUCCCCAGGAAGGCUCUGCCAGACACGGGGGCUGUACAGCUGUCCCAGCCAUAUGCCCUGCCCUGCCCUGGGCUGCAGAGGGGCCCUCGCUUUGCACUGCUGCAUCUUUGCUGCUGCAGUCUGCACUGAGGAGCUGGAGUUGUUGAAGGGCUUUUCUACUGAUAAAUGGAUGGAAACCCGUAUUUUCAUCUCACGUCAUCAAACAUUCAUCAGAUACUCCUGAAUCAUUUGAGGAAAUAAUGUGUGAGGGGAAAAAAAAAUAUUACCUCCGGCAGUUGUGUUAUAACGGCUCUUGUGCUGACAGCCCUUUGGGAACGGUGGCAGCAGCAGGGCUGAAUGUUUUGGAGAAGAGAUCCUCAGAAGGAACACGGGAGGUGCGUUGGGACGCCUUCGCUCUGCACAGAGAUAAAGCCAGAGGGAUCCCACAUUCCGAACAAGGCAGAGCCUGAACUUGAACUGCGGGUUGUCCAAAGCUCAGGAGAGAGUUUAAAGAAGUGAGUUCCUCUUUGUGUCCUAAAAUCCUUUCUAACCGAAGUGCUCCUAUGCUGUGUUCUGGCAAAGCCCCGUUGGCUGUGGGUACGCACUCAGCUCCAGCCACAUCUGAGCCCCAGUGAUGAGCUUCGUUCUGCUUCUGCUGAAAUCGUGGGGCCUUCUGGAGUUCUUUCCAGAGCAAACAGGUCUCAGAAUGGUCAGCAAGAGCAGCCAAACCCUGAGCAGUGAAGUCCCAGAAAGAAUGAAUGUAAUGCUGGCCAACCUGACAGGUGUCUCUUAUUGCUUCCCUAUGGGAAGGAGGAGCCCGAGAUUUUGGAGCGCACUGCUCAGGAUGUUUGUGAGCACCUUUAAAGGUGAAAAUCCCAGCGUGCAAAAUCCCUGGAGUUCAGAUGAGUGUUCAAUAGGAGAUACCCCUGAAUCUCUUAAAUACUUCUGAUCACAUUCAGCCCGGAUUCAGCAAAGCAUGUGCUGUCUUUAGGGGGUGCUUAAAUCCCCUCCAUGCAGUGUGCAGCAGCUCAUCUCUCCCAGGCAGGUUCUGCUGCCCCUCACUGCACCCACAUUCAUCUCCCCAAAGUGGGCAGCACUUUGG
ensembl:lncRNA